UGGGUCUAAUACCGGAUAGGAGCGUCCACCGCAUGGUGGGUGUUGGAAAGAUUUAUCGGUUUUGGAUGGACUCGCGGCCUAUCAGCUUGUUGGUGAGGUAAUGGCUCACCAAGGCGACGACGGGUAGCCGGCCUGAGAGGGUGACCGGCCACACUGGGACUGAGACACGGCCCAGACUCCUACGGGAGGCAGCAGUGGGGAAUAUUGCACAAUGGGCGCAAGCCUGAUGCAGCGACGCCGCGUGAGGGAUGACGGCCUUCGGGUUGUAAACCUCUUUCAGUAGGGAAGAAGCGAAAGUGACGGUACCUGCAGAAGAAGCACCNGCUAACUACGUGCCAGCAGCCGCGGUAAUACGUAGGGUGCGAGCGUUAUCCGGAAUUAUUGGGCGUAAAGAGCUCGUAGGCGGUUUGUCGCGUCUGUCGUGAAAGUCCGGGGCUUAACCCCGGAUCUGCGGUGGGUACGGGCAGACUAGAGUGCAGUAGGGGAGACUGGAAUUCCUGGUGUAGCGGUGGAAUGCGCAGAUAUCAGGAGGAACACCGAUGGCGAANGCAGGUCUCUGGGCUGUAACUGACGCUGAGGAGCGAAAGCAUGGGGAGCGAACAGGAUUAGAUACCCUGGUAGUCCAUGCCGUAAACGUUGGGCACUAGGUGUGGGGACCAUUCCACGGUUUCCGCGCCGCAGCUAACGCAUUAAGUGCCCCGCCUGGGGAGUACGGCCGCAAGGCUAAAACUCAAAGGAAUUGACGGGGGCCCGCACAAGCGGCGGAGCAUGCGGAUUAAUUCGAUGCAACGCGAAGAACCUUACCAAGGCUUGACAUGNUUCUCNAUCGCCGUAGAGAUACGGUUUCCCCUUUGGGGCGGGUUCACAGGUGGUGCAUGGUUGUCGUCAGCUCGUGUCGUGAGAUGUUGGGUUAAGUCCCGCAACGAGCGCAACCCUCGUUCCAUGUUGCCAGCACGUCGUGGUGGGGACUCAUGGGAGACUGCCGGGGUCAACUCGGAGGAAGGUGAGGACGACGUCAAAUCAUCAUGCCCCUUAUGUCUUGGGCUUCACGCAUGCUACAAUGGCCGGUACAAUGGGUUGCGAUACUGUGAGGUGGAGCUAAUCCCAAAAAGCCGGUNUCAGUUCGGAUUGGGGUNNGCAA
rnacentral:rRNA from 1 species